GACGAACGCUGGCGGCGUGCUUAACGCAUGCAAGUCGAACGGAAAGGCCCUGCUUGCAGGGUACUCGAGUGGCGAACGGGUGAGUAACACGUGGGUGAUCUGCCCUGCACUUCGGGAUAAGCCUGGGAAACUGGGUCUAAUACCGGAUAGGAGCCAUUUUUAGUGUGAUGGUUGGAAAGUUUUUUCGGUGUAGGAUGAGCUCGCGGCCUAUCAGCUUGUUGGUGGGGUAAUGGCCUACCAAGGCGGCGACGGGUAGCCGGCCUGAGAGGGUGGACGGCCACAUUGGGACUGGGAUACGGCCCAGACGCCUACGGGAGGCAGCAGUGGGGAAUAUUGCACAAUGGGCGCAAGCCUGAUGCAGCGACGCCGCGUGGGGGAUGACGGCCUUCGGGUUGUAAACUCCUUUCGCUAGGGACGAAGCUUUUUGUGACGGUACCUAGAUAAGAAGCACCGGCUAACUACGUG
rnacentral:rRNA from 1 species